rnacentral:rRNA from 1 species
UCCAGGCAAAUCCGGAUAAUCAAGGCUGAGGUGUGAUGACGAGGCACUACGGUGCUGAAGUAACAAAUGCCCUGCUUCCAGGAAAAGCCUCUAAGCAUCAGGUAACAUUAAAUCGUACCCCAAACCGACACAGGUGGUCAGGUAGAGAAUACCAAGGCGCUUGAGAGAACUCGGGUGAAGGAACUAGGCAAAAUGGUGCCGUAACUUCGGGAGAAGGCACGCUGGUGUGUAGGUGAAGUCCCUGCGGAUGGAGCUGAGACCAGUCGAAGAUACCAGCUGGCUGCAACUGUUUAUUAAAAACACAGCACUGUGCAAACACGAAAGUGGACGUAUACGGUGUGACGCCUGCCCGGUGCCGGAAGGUUAAUUGAUGGGGUUAUCCGUAAGGAGAAGCUCUUGAUCGAAGCCCCGGUAAACGGCGGCCGUAACUAUAACGGUCCUAAGGUAGCGAAAUUCCUUGUCGGGUAAGUUCCGACCUGCACGAAUGGCGUAAUGAUGGCCAGGCUGUCUCCACCCGAGACUCAGUGAAAUUGAACUCGCUGUGAAGAUGCAGUGUACCCGCGGCAAGACGGAAAGACCCCGUGAACCUUUACUAUAGCUUGACACUGAACAUUGAGCCUUGAUGUGUAGGAUAGGUGGGAGGCUUUGAAGCGUGGACGCCAGUCUGCGUGGAGCCAACCUUGAAAUACCACCCUUUAAUGUUUGAUGUUCUAACGUUGGCCCCUGACCGGGGUUGCGGACAGUGUCUGGUGGGUAGUUUGACUGGGGCGGUCUCCUCCCAAAGCGUAACGGAGGAGCACGAAGGUUAGCUAAUCCUGGUCGGACAUCAGGAGGUUAGUGCAAUGGCAUAAGCUAGCUUGACUGCGAGCGUGACGGCGCGAGCAGGUGCGAAAGCAGGUCAUAGUGAUCCGGUGGUUCUGAAUGGAAGGGCCAUCGCUCAACGGAUAAAAGGUACUCCGGGGAUAACAGGCUGAUACCGCCCAAGAGUUCAUAUCGACGGCGGUGUUUGGCACCUCGAUGUCGGCUCAUCACAUCCUGGGGCUGAAGUAGGUCCCAAGGGUAUGGCUGUUCGCCAUUUAAAGUGGUACGCGAGCUGGGUUUAGAACGUCGUGAGACAGUUCGGUCCCUAUCUGCCGUGGGCGCUGGAGAAUUGAGGGGGGCUGCUCCUAGUACGAGAGGACCGGAGUGGACGCAUCACUGGUGUUCGGGUUGUCAUGCCAAUGGCACUGCCCGGUAGCUAAAUGCGGAAGAGAUAAGUGCUGAAAGCAUCUAAGCACGAAACUUGCCCCGAGAUGAGUUCUCCCUGAGACUUUAAGUCUCCUGAAGGAACGUUGAAGACGACGACGUUGAUAGGCCGGGUGUGUAAGCGCAGCGAUGCGUUGAGCUAACCGGUACUAAUGAACCGUGAGGCUUAACC